AGCAUAUCAAUAAGCGGAGGAAAAGAAACCAACAGGGAUUGCCCUAGUAACGGCGAGUGAAGCGGCAACAGCUCAAAUUUGAAAUCUGGCUCUUUUAGAGUCCGAGUUGUAAUUUGCAGAGGGCGCUUUGGCUUUGGCAGCGGUCCAAGUUCCUUGGAACAGGACGUCACAGAGGGUGAGAAUCCCGUACGUGGUCGCUGGCUAUUGCCGUGUAAAGCCCCUUCGACGAGUCGAGUUGUUUGGGAAUGCAGCUCUAAAUGGGAGGUACAUUUCUUCUAAAGCUAAAUAUUGGCCAGAGACCGAUAGCGCACAAGUAGAGUGAUCGAAAGAUGAAAAGCACUUUGGAAAGAGAGUCAAACAGCACGUGAAAUUGUUGAAAGGGAAGCGCUUGCAGCCAGACUUGCUUACAGUUGCUCAUCCGGGUUUCUACCCGGUGCACUCUUCUGUAGGCAGGCCAGCAUCAGUUUGGGCGGUAGGAUAAAGGUCUCUGUCACGUACCUCCUUUCGGGGAGGCCUUAUAGGGGAGACGACAUACUACCAGCCUGGACUGAGGUCCGCGCAUCUGCUAGGAUGCUGGCGUAAUGGCUGUAAGCGGCCCGUCUUGAAACACGGACCAAGGAGUCUAACAUCUAUGCGAGUGUUUGGGUGUCAAGCCCGAGCGCGUAAUGAAAGUGAACGGAGGUGGGAACCCGCAAGGGUGCACCAUCGACCGAUCCUGAUGUCUUCGGAAGGAUUUGAGUAAGAGCAUGGCUGUUGGGACCCGAAAGAUGGUGAACUAUGCUUGAAUAGGGUGAAGCCAGAGGAAACUCUGGUGGAGGCUCGCAGCGGUUCUGACGUGCAAAUCGAUCGUCAAAUUUGGGCAUAGGGGCGAAAGACUAAUCGAACUAUCUAGUAGCUGGUUCCUGCCGAAGUU
rnacentral:rRNA from 1 species